rnacentral:lncRNA from 1 species
ACUUGUGUUCAGAUUCUCAUAAGCCAUGUCCAUCUGAAAUAUAAAAAAGACAAUACCUGAAUAAUAUAGAAAAAGAGAAUUCGAGAAUGAGGAACAUCAAUAAAACAGUUAAAACGGAAGUCCGAAUGAAUGAAAAAACUUCAAGAUAACUCAAAACGAUAAACAGAAAAAUGUUUGACUUUACCAACUAACUUUAGGUUUUCGGCCGUUUUGGUCCACCUUGUGCUGCUGAGAGAAUUCAAAGUAAAAAAGCAGUUGAAGAGAAAAUAAGGCGGAUUGGAAUGAAGAGGGAAAAAGAGAGUGAUGAGAUGUUUGGCGGGUGUCACCAGCAUGCGUACUAAAUCAGGAUUUUAUUACUUUUUAAUUUUCACCACCUCAUCUAAAACGACACAUCAAACAAAAAAACAAACAAACCUUAUAUAGUCAACUUUAUCUGCUAAUAUCAAUGAUAAAAAAACAAUUUCCUUGUACGAACUAUGUCGUGAAUGAUAAGAAAGAUUAUGCUUCAUUUGUCAGACUUCAUUUUGUUUAAAUAACUGCUACCAUUGCAUCAUUUAUGGAUAGAAUUUCGGCAAGAAAAAUAGACCCAAAAUUUUCUUGUUCGACCAUCUUCUCUUUAUUCAGUUUCUGAAAGGAAAAAAAUAUAUAUAUAUCGCCAGAAAUUUUAUGGGUUUUUAC